AAUGGUUGUAUUUGACCUUUUUGUUUAAUGUUUUUAAAAAUUAUUUCACUACUACUUGCGUCUCGCUGCUGUAAGCUCCCUUUGUUUCAGGUUGUUCAUGACCUAUUUUUUCGCAGAUAAUCAUUUACAUGAUUUAGGUCAAUAGGCUAACGCGAGUUUAUUGACUUUAAUAAAAAAAAAAUGGCAGAAUUUAUGGUAUAAAACAGGGGAAAGAAACUGAUGAUGCAGUUCAAAUGGCGAACAUCGCCAUCCAAUGCUGAGACAAUGGAAGACGUGGCGGACACUGUCAGAAAGUCAUCCCAUGGUGGUUACAAUAUCCCACAGCUUGUUGAAGUCAAAGCCUAGUCGGUGAUCUUCUACAAUUGGACUUCUUAAAGAACAUUUUUGAGCCAAUUCCAGGACUGACUAAGUACCAUCAUAUUAGGAUCACUAGUAGCCAUCAAGGGACAGUGUGGGAGUAUGUCGACAACCCAGAGGUUGCCAUAGAUAUCGCCUGGUCUCAAAGCAAGGCUGCAUCCAAUAGUGAAAUGCCAGUGAGAAUUGAAAUCUGGGACCUUGGUUCAAAAAGGUAUCGAUACCUAUUAGGGAUCACUCCUCUUUGCAAUAACAUUUCAUCAUGUUCCAAGUCAACAGUUCCCAAAACAUCUAGUGGUGUUAGAAAUAGUGUACUGACAUAUUUACACGUCUAUUCCACCGAUAAACCAAUAGAGUCAUUAAAUUGGCACAAAUUGCUGUUUUGAUGUGAUAAAAUUUAGAAUUUUCAGAAAUUUUGGCAAAACGUAUCAAGGUUGUUUCAAGCAAAGGUUCAAUAUUGGCAGAAUUUGUCAACAUUAACGAAACGAACAUGGUUGUUUUAGGUUUGUUAUUGUUGACAUUAACUUACUUUAGAACAAAGUUAUUACUGAAGGGAACGUCCAGAAUAUUAAUUCAGCUAAAAAAAAUGAAAUAGAAACAAAUGAAUUAUGCUGAAACAAACUUUGCCCUUUUUAACUUUACUUGAUAUGCAUGUAUACUUGUUAUGAUAUUUCGUUUGGAAAUGCCUUUCACCCGAAUAAUGCCUUGUUCCAGAUUUAAAGAUGAAAUGGUAUAUGAUCAAUCACAGUACAUAGUACAUGUUUUACAUGUUAGAAGUCUCCUUUAGUCCUUUAUUUACUAGUUUGUUGUUGAGAUGCAUGGAACACAGUUAUUACUUAAAUUUUAAAGAUACUGUUGCCAUGACAACCAUAUUUGUAUUAUAUUUUCACUAGACGGUUACAAUUAUAACUUCUCAUUUUCAGUUUAAUAUAGUUACAUCUCAUUGGAGUGAAAGUUUGCCUUUUACCAAAAAUAUGCACUGUUCCAACAUGUGUGUUUACAAUUAAAUGUUAAAUUAUCUAUUUUAUCAUUAUAAGUUUAUGUUUCACAUGUUUUGAGUCUUCUUCAUUCCUGUGUUAACUAGUAUAUUAUUUAGAUGCUUUGAAUAUUGUUGUUACUUGAGGGACAUGAACGUAUAUUAUAAGUAAUAAAUGACUAAACUGAUUUUUUGAAAUAAAAUAACAACAGCGUUGUUUUCUGUGAAUAUUUGGAAAACCGUUCCCAUGGCAACCAUAUUUAUAUUGUCACCAGAGUGUAAAAUUUGUAAUACUUUUGAUGUAAAGGUUAAAGCAGUGUAGCAAUAGUUGAUCUACAUGUUAAAAUGUUAUGUUUUCUGUAUAUAUGUUGAUUCUCAUUAAAAGGUAAACAUUA